UACGUGGGGGGCUAGCGUUGUCCGGAAUCAUUGGGCGUAAAGCGCGUGUAGGCGGUCCGGUAAGUCCGCUGUGAAAGUCGGGGGCUCAACCCUCGAAUGCCGGUGGAUACUGUCGGGCUAGAGUGCGGAAGAGGCGAGUGGAAUUCCUGGUGUAGCGGUGAAAUGCGCAGAUAUCAGGAGGAACACCAAUUGCGAAGGCAGCUCGUUGGGACGUAACUGACGCUGAGACGCGAAAGCGUGGGGAGCAAACAGG
rnacentral:rRNA from 1 species